ACUGCUGUGUAGCUGUAACAAUGUUAACCAAAUUAAUUGGUAUUGUGUAUUUUUCAAAGUUUUCCAUGAUGUGUUUUUUUUUUUGUGAUAUAAGAUUGUUGUUUAUCACCUCCGCUAUUUGCAUUGGGUUAAAUAUGCAAAUUAGCGGCGUUAAAUACGUGCGAGUUGUAAAUGUUGUCUAGCCAUUAAGUGGGUGCUAACUGGCUAAUUCAUUGUUGUAGAUACCAGCAUUGUGUUACCCUCGUGUGUGAUCGCCCAUUACUGCUGUGUUGCAGACGUUUUGGGAAUGGAAAGUCCCCUGCUGCAGAGUAGGAUGGAUCCAGCUGACUGCUAACAAUUUGGAGGA
ensembl:lncRNA